GGGGAUUUCGUCUUUGUGGAAUCCAGUGAUUAGCAAAUGUAAGGGUGAAAAAACAUGCCAUCACAUACCAUCGGAUGUCUUGAGUGUUGAGUGUAGGCAAAGUGACAACCCUAGCGUACAAGUGUAUAUAAAGAUGUUGAUACAAUUCCUCUCCAGUCUGCCUGUGACCACGAACGUAACGUCACGUUCGAAACGUCAGGCCAUAAAUAAA